rnacentral:rRNA from 1 species
GACGAACGCUGGCGGCGUGCCUAAUACAUGCAAGUAGAACGCUGAAGGAGGAGCUUGCUUCUCUGGAUGAGUUGCGAACGGGUGAGUAACGCGUAGGUAACCUGCCUGGUAGCGGGGGAUAACUAUUGGAAACGAUAGCUAAUACCGCAUAAGAGUAGAUGUCGCAUGACAUUUGCUUAAAAGGUGCAAUUGCAUCACUACCAGAUGGACCUGCGUUGUAUUAGCUAGUUGGUGAGGUAACGGCUCACCAAGGCAACGAUACAUAGCCGCCCUGAGAGGGGGAUCGGCCACACUGGGACUGAGACACGGCCCAGACUCCUACGGGAGGCAGCAGUAGGGAAUCUUCGGCAAUGGACGGAAGUCUGACCGAGCAACGCCGCGUGAGUGAAGAAGGUUUUCGGAUCGUAAAGCUCUGUUGUAAGAGAAGAACGAGUGUGAGAGUGGAAAGUUCACACUGUUACGGUAUCUUACCAGAAAGGGACGGCUAACUACGUG